GAACAAAACCUACCCAUUUUUCAAGGUU
rnacentral:rRNA from 1 species